rnacentral:lncRNA from 1 species
UUAGUAAGGAUUGAAUCAGCUUGUUGGCUCCUAAUAGAGUCUGAAAUCCAGUAACAUUUACAGUGUGUUUGCUCAUUCCAUUGACUGCCCAGUCCCAGUAGGAGCAAUGACCAACAGAAGAGAACCCAGGGCCAGAGGAUCUACCACCACAGAACCAUUCUAGAUGUCAAUUCCUGGUAAGAAAUGAUUGGGAGUUAACAGAAGAACCACAGAGAGGUAGAGUUUGCUAUGUUUAUAUUUGCAUUGAAGUUAUUUUAAAAUAUUAGUUUAUCCUCCUGCACAUACUAUUUUUAUUUUAUAGCAUACAUGGAAUCUAUAUGUUUGAUUCUAUAGCGUAAAUUCCUUUCUUCUCAAUCAGCCUUUUUGGCCGCUUUGUUAAAGAUCACAGUGUAGCCACAUGAAGGAAAACCACUCGAAUCUGGGUUAGUCCUAUCCAUGGUGACAGUUAUUACCUGACUGCCAGUGCUGGGAUUGGAUAGAUCAGGUAUAU